rnacentral:rRNA from 1 species
UACGUAGGGGGCAAGCGUUAUCCGGAUUUACUGGGCGUAAAGCGCGUGUAGGGGGUUGCGCAAGUUGGUUGUGAAAUCUCCCGGCUCAACCGGGAAACUGCAGCCAAUACUGCGUGGCUAGAGUGGCAGAGAGGAAAGUGGAAUUCCGCGUGUAGUGGUGAAAUGCGUAGAGAUGCGGAGGAACACCAGUGGCGAAAGCGACUUUCUGGGCCUUAACUGACGCUGAGGCGCGAAAGCAUGGGGAGCGAACGGG